rnacentral:rRNA from 1 species
UACGUAGGGUGCAAGCGUUGUCCGGAUUUAUUGGGCGUAAAGAGCUCGUAGGCGGUUUGCCGCGUCUGCUGUGAAAACUCGGGGCUUAACUCCGGGCCUGCAGUGGGUACGGGCAGACUAGAGUGCGGUAGGGGAGACUGGAAUUCCUGGUGUAGCGGUGAAAUGCGCAGAUAUCAGGAGGAACACCGAUGGCGAAGGCAGGUCUCUGGGCAUUAACUGACGCUGAGGAGCGAAAGCAUGGGGAGCGAACAGG